CCUACGGGUGGCUGCAGUGGGGAAUAUUGGACAAUGGGGGCAACCCUGAUCCAGCCAUGCCGCGUGUGUGAAGAAGGCCCUCGGGGUGUAAAGCACUUUCAGUGAGGAAGAACGCCUGGUGGUGAAUACCCAUCAGGAAAGACAUCACUCACAGAAGAAGCACCGGCUAACUCCGUGCCAGCAGCCGCGGUAAUACGGAGGGUGCGAGCGUUAAUCGGAAUUACUGGGCGUAAAGCGCGCGUAGGUGGCUUGAUAAGCCGGUUGUGAAAGCCCCGGGCUCAACCUGGGAACGGCAUCCGGAACUGUCGAGCUAGAGUGCAGGAGAGGAAGGUAGAAUUCCCGGUGUAGCGGUGAAAUGCGUAGAGAUCGGGAGGAAUACCAGUGGCGAAGGCGGCCUUCUGGACUGACACUGACACUGAGGUGCGAAAGCGUGGGUAGCAAACAGGAUUAGAUACCCUGGUAGUC
rnacentral:rRNA from 1 species